UACAGAGGGGGCAAGCGUUGUUCGGAAUUACUGGGCGUAAAGGGCGCGUAGGCGGCCUUCUAAGUCGAACGUGAAAUCCCCGGGCUCAACCCGGGAACUGCGUCCGAUACUGGAAGGCUUGAAUCCGGGAGAGGGAUGUGGAAUUCCAGGUGUAGCGGUGAAAUGCGUAGAUAUCUGGAGGAACACCGGUGGCGAAGGCGGCAUCCUGGACCGGCAUUGACGCUGAGGAGCGAAAGCCAGGGGAGCAAAGCGGG
rnacentral:rRNA from 1 species